rnacentral:rRNA from 2 species
CUUCCAGGAAAAGCCUCUAAGCUUCAGAUAGUCAGGAAUCGUACCCCAAACCGACACAGGUGGUCGGGUAGAGAAUACCAAGGCGCUUGAGAGAACUCGGGUGAAGGAACUAGGCAAAAUGGUACCGUAACUUCGGGAGAAGGUACGCUCUUGAUGGUGAAGUCCCUCGCGGAUGGAGCUGACGAGAGUCGCAGAUACCAGGUGGCUGCAACUGUUUAUUAAAAACACAGCACUGUGCAAAAUCGCAAGAUGACGUAUACGGUGUGACGCCUGCCCGGUGCCGGAAGGUUAAUUGAUGGGGUUAGCGCAAGCGAAGCUCUUGAUCGAAGCCCCGGUAAACGGCGGCCGUAACUAUAACGGUCCUAAGGUAGCGAAAUUCCUUGUCGGGUAAGUUCCGACCUGCACGAAUGGCGUAAUGAUGGCCACGCUGUCUCCACCCGAGACUCAGUGAAAUUGAAAUCGCUGUGAAGAUGCAGUGUACCCGCGGCUAGACGGAAAGACCCCGUGAACCUUUACUACAGCUUGGCACUGAACAUUGAACCUACAUGUGUAGGAUAGGUGGGAGGCUAUGAAGACGUGACGCCAGUUGCGUUGGAGCCGUCCUUGAAAUACCACCCUUGUAUGUUUGAUGUUCUAACUUAGACCCAUUAUCUGGGUUGAGGACAGUGCCUGGUGGGUAGUUUGACUGGGGCGGUCUCCUCCCAAAGAGUAACGGAGGAGCACGAAGGUGGGCUAAUCACGGUUGGACAUCGUGAGGUUAGUGCAAUGGCAUAAGCCCGCUUAACUGCGAGAAUGACGGUUCGAGCAGGUGCGAAAGCAGGUCAUAGUGAUCCGGUGGUUCUGUAUGGAAGGGCCAUCGCUCAACGGAUAAAAGGUACUCCGGGGAUAACAGGCUGAUACCGCCCAAGAGUUCAUAUCGACGGCGGUGUUUGGCACCUCGAUGUCGGCUCAUCACAUCCUGGGGCUGAAGUCGGUCCCAAGGGUAUGGCUGUUCGCCAUUUAAAGUGGUACGCGAGCUGGGUUUAGAACGUCGUGAGACAGUUCGGUCCCUAUCUGCCGUGGGCGUUGGAAGAUUGAAGGGGGCUGCUCCUAGUACGAGAGGACCGGAGUGGACGAACCUCUGGUGUUCGGGUUGUGUCGCCAGACGCAUUGCCCGGUAGCUAAGUUCGGAAUUGAUAAGCGCUGAAAGCAUCUAAGCGCGAAGCGAGCCCUGAGAUGAGUCUUCCCUGACAGUUUAACUGUCCUAAAGGGUUGUUCGAGACUAGAACGUUGAUAGGCAGGGUGUGUAAGCGUUGUGAGGCGUUGAGCUAACCUGUACUAAUUGCCCGUGAGGCUUAACCAU